AGCCAUGCAUGUCUUCGAAUAAGAGGAAGCAAUUCUCUCUGAAUCUGCGAACGGCUCCGCAAACCAGUUGUAAACUAUGGCAAGUCACCCCGCGGUUGCGGCCCUCACGGGUUGCGGCUGUGGGUCAGAUGGGUAACCCUGGUAAUUCUGAGGCUAAUACAAGAACGUAACACCCGGUCGACCGGUUCACUGGAAGGCUGGGGGAUGUGCGGCUUAAUGCGGAAAGAUUACCACGAGAGGAUGCACGUUCGGACCACGCAAAAAAGGAUCAGGCAGCGUUACCUCACGGUGGCAAAACCUGGCCCCAGUGGCUCUUGCAGUGUGCUUCUGACCUAUCAACUAGACGGCAGCGUAACGGACAUGCUAUGGUUACAACGGGUACAGAGGAUAAGGGUUCGAUCCUGGAGAGUGGGCCUGAGAGAUUGCUCAUACUUCUAAGGAAGGCAGCAGGCGCGCAACGUUCCCCUUGGACAUUGUCUGAGGGCGUUAGGGGACAUAUGAAUGCCUGCCUUUUAGGUGGGCAAUUCAAAUGGGUUUGUUGUAAACAACCUUUCGAGUAACAAUUAGAGGACAAGUCUGGUGCCAGCACCCGCGGUAAUUCCAGCUCUAAUAGCAUACGUUAAAGUUGUUGCAGUUAAAACGCUCGUAGUCGGCCACAAAUCAUCAGAAGCCUGAGUCGGGUGUGCGGGUCUGCUGCUUUUCGGAGCGCGCCGUGCAUUUGGCGAGGGUGGGCGGUGGUUAAGCGUGCCUCAGACCGUAUCCUUCUGGAUUCACAGGGCUCGGCUCCUCACGGGGCUGGGCCUGGACUGGGGCGCCUCUCACUAUGACUAAACCGGCG
rnacentral:rRNA from 1 species